GUGCUCGCUUCGGCAGCACAUAUACUAAAAUUGGAACGAUACAGAGAAGAUUAGCAUGGCCCCUGCGCAACUACAGUCAUGCCUUGUUUGGCCCUAAAUAAAUAUGUUU